rnacentral:other from 1 species
UUCUUUCUGCGAUGUUCGUUACCGAACACACUAAUAAUUGAGCCAACACUUGAAUUAUCGGGAGGCUAAUGCCGGUUUUCGGUGCAGUCCUUCAAAGUAAAGGAUUUGCCAUAGAAUCCGGCUUCGAUGUUUUCUUCUCGGGAAAACAGAAAGCCACCCACCUAUUGAGAAAAUAGGUUCAAUUCAACUGUUCGCAACGGCAGAGCGGUUAUCUU